AACGCCCUCUUCGGAGGGAGUGGCAGACGGGUGAGUAACGCGUGGGAAUCUACCUAGUGGUGGAGGAUAACUUCGGGAAACCGGAGCUAAUACUCCAUAAGCCCUUCGGGGGAAAGUUUUUUCGCCAUUAGAUGAGCCCGCGUUAGAUUAGCUUGUUGGUAGGGUAAUGGCCUACCAAGGCGACGAUCUAUAGCUGGUCUGAGAGGAUGAUCAGCCACACUGGAACUGAGACACGGUCCAGACUCCUACGGGAGGCAGCAGUGGGGAAUAUUGCACAAUGGGCGCAAGCCUGAUGCAGCCAUGCCGCGUGUGUGAUGAAGGCCUUAGGGUUGUAAAACACUUUCAUCGGUGAAGAUAAUGACGGUAGCCGAAGAAGAAGCCCCGGCUAACUCCGUGCCAGCAGCCGCGGUAAUACGGAGGGGGCAAGCGUUGUUCGGAAUUACUGGGCGUAAAGCGCACGUAGGCGGACUGAUCAGUUGGGGGUGAAAUCCCGAGGCUUAACCUCGGAACUGCCUUCAAUACUGUCAGUCUUGAGAUCGGAAGAGGUGAGUGGAAUUCCUAGUGUAGAGGUGAAAUUCGUAGAUAUUAGGAAGAACACCAGUGGCGAAGGCGGCUCACUGGUCCGAUACUGACGCUGAGGUGCGAAAGCGUGGGGAGCGAACAGGAUUAGAUACCCUGGUAGUCCACGCCGUAAACGAUGAGAGCUAGCCGUCGGACAGUAUACUGUUCGGUGGCGCAGUUAACGCAUUAAGCUCUCCGCCUGGGGAGUACGGUCGCAAGAUUAAAACUCAAAGGAAUUGACGGGGGCCCGCACAAGGCGGUGGAGCAUGUGGUUUAAUUCG
rnacentral:rRNA from 1 species